rnacentral:sRNA from 1 species
GACUGGGUGAAUCGUGGCGGAAGACGC